CGGCGAGUGAAGCGGCAAGAGCUCAAAUUUGAAAGCUGGCCCCUUCGGGGUCCGCGUUGUAAUUUGCAGAGGAUGCUUCGGGAGCGGUCCCCAUCUAAGUGCCCUGGAACGGGCCGUCAUAGAGGGUGAGAAUCCCGUCUGGGAUGGGGUGCCCGCGCCCGUGUGAAGCUCCUUCGACGAGUCGAGUUGUUUGGGAAUGCAGCUCUAAAUGGGUGGUAAAUUUCAUCUAAAGCUAAAUACUGGCCGGAGACCGAUAGCGCACAAGUAGAGUGAUCGAAAGAUGAAAAGCACUUUGAAAAGAGAGUUAAACAGCACGUGAAAUUGUUGAAAGGGAAGCGCUUGCGACCAGACUCGCUCGCGGGGUUCAGCCGGCCUUCGGGCCGGUGUACUUCCCCGCGGGCGGGCCAGCGUCGGUUUGGGCGGCCGGUCAAAGGCCCUCGGAAUGUAACGCCCCCCGGGGCGUCUUAUAGCCGAGGGUGCCAUGCGGCCAGCCCGGACCGAGGAACGCGCUUCGGCUCGGACGCUGGCAUAAUGGUCGUAAGCGACCC
rnacentral:rRNA from 1 species